rnacentral:rRNA from 1 species
CCUACGGGUGGCAGCAGUGGGGAAUAUUGGACAAUGGGCGAAAGCCUGAUCCAGCCAUGCCGCGUGUGUGAAGAAGGCCUUCGGGUUGUAAAGCACUUUCAGUGGGGUAGAAAGCCUUGGGGCUAAUACCCUCGAGGAAGGACAUCACCCACAGAAGAAGCACCGGCUAACUCCGUGCCAGCAGCCGCGGUAAUACGGAGGGUGCGAGCGUUAAUCGGAAUUACUGGGCGUAAAGCGCGCGUAGGCGGUCUGAUAAGCCGGUUGUGAAAGCCCCGGGCUCAACCUGGGAACGGCAUCCGGAACUGUCAGGCUAGAGUGCAGGAGAGGAAGGUAGAAUUCCCGGUGUAGCGGUGAAAUGCGUAGAGAUCGGGAGGAAUACCAGUGGCGAAGGCGGCCUUCUGGACUGACACUGACGCUGAGGUGCGAAAGCGUGGGUAGCAAACAGGAUUAGAUACCCCAGUAGUC